UACGUAGGGGGCAAGCGUUGUCCGGAUUCAUUGGGCGUAAAGAGCGUGUAGGCGGCCAGGUAGGUCGGUUGUGAAAACUGGAGGCUCAACCUUCAGAGGUCGACCGAAACCAUCUGGCUAGAGUCCGGGAGAGGAGAGUGGAAUUCCUGGUGUAGCGGUGAAAUGCGCAGAUAUCAGGAAGAACACCAAUGGCGAAAGCAGCUCUCUGGGACGGUACUGACGCUGAGGUGCGAAAGCGUGGGGAGCAAACAGG
rnacentral:rRNA from 1 species